CCUGGCUCAGAUUGAACGCUGGCGGCAGGCUUAACACAUGCAAGUCGAGCGGGGGAAGGUAGCUUGCUACUGGACCUAGCGGCGGACGGGUGAGUAAUGCUUAGGAAUCUGCCUAUUAGUGGGGGACAACAUCUCGAAAGGGAUGCUAAUACCGCAUACGUCCUACGGGAGAAAGCAGGGGAUCUUCGGACCUUGCGCUAAUAGAUGAGCCUAAGUCGGAUUAGCUAGUUGGUGGGGUAAAGGCCUACCAAGGCGACGAUCUGUAGCGGGUCUGAGAGGAUGAUCCGCCACACUGGGACUGAGACACGGCCCAGACUCCUACGGGAGGCAGCAGUGGGGAAUAUUGGACAAUGGGGGGAACCCUGAUCCAGCCAUGCCGCGUGUGUGAAGAAGGCCUUAUGGUUGUAAAGCACUUUAAGCGAGGAGGAGGCUACUUUAGUUAAUACCUAGAGAUAGUGGACGUUACUCGCAGAAUAAGCACCGGCUAACUCUGUGCCAGCAGCCGCGGUAAUACAGAGGGUGCGAGCGUUAAUCGGAUUUACUGGGCGUAAAGCGUGCGUAGGCGGCUUAUUAAGUCGGAUGUGAAAUCCCCGAGCUUAACUUGGGAAUUGCAUUCGAUACUGGUGAGCUAGAGUAUGGGAGAGGAUGGUAGAAUUCCAGGUGUAGCGGUGAAAUGCGUAGAGAUCUGGAGGAAUACCGAUGGCGAAGGCAGCCAUCUGGCCUAAUACUGACGCUGAGGUACGAAAGCAUGGGGAGCAAACAGGAUUAGAUACCCUGGUAGUCCAUGCCGUAAACGAUGUCUACUAGCCGUUGGGGCCUUUGAGGCUUUAGUGGCGCAGCUAACGCGAUAAGUAGACCGCCUGGGGAGUACGGUCGCAAGACUAAAACUCAAAUGAAUUGACGGGGGCCCGCACGAGCGGUGGAGCGUGUGGUUUAAUUCGAUGC
rnacentral:rRNA from 1 species